UGUUUACUUUUUCUGCUGGAAGAAGAUCUAGAGUCACUUCCUCUCUCCCAGCUCUGCCACACUUCAUCCACGACAGCAAUCCUGGUUAUCCUUACUGGAUGCUGCUUUCUUGUGUUCUGCCCCCCACCUCCAGCUAUUCGGCACAACAUACAGUGUCACAUCUUGCUAUAUCUUCAGGUGGCACCUAAUGCUUUCUUGGUAGAAUGAAAUCGUAGCUUUUACAGAAGUGGGAUUUGGUAGAGAGCAUCAGAAGUUGCCUGGAAAAAUCUACUCAGCUGUUCUUAAAAGAAAUCUCCUGUAAGUGGUUGAUGUAUAAACUCCAGAAGAAGUUCCCAGACCUUUUCAGGCGCAAACCAGUGGUCUAAGUGGGAAGGGGGGAAAUGAUUGAGUAUUG